rnacentral:rRNA from 1 species
ACGCUAGCUACAGGCUUAACACAUGCAAGUCGAGGGGCAGCAUGGUCUUAGCUUGCUAAGGCCGAUGGCGACCGGCGCACGGGUGAGUAACGCGUAUCCAACCUGCCUUACACUCUUGGACAGCCUUCUGAAAGGGAGAUUAAUACAAGAUGUUAUCAUGAGUAAGCAUUUUCGCAUGAUUAAAGGUUUACCGGUGUAAGAUGGGGAUGCGUUCCAUUAGAUAGUAGGCGGGGUAACGGCCCACCUAGUCUUCGAUGGAUAGGGGUUCUGAGAGGAAGGUCCCCCACAUUGGAACUGAGACACGGUCCAAACUCCUACGGGAGGCAGCAGUGAGGAAUAUUGGUCAAUGGACGAGAGUCUGAACCAGCCAAGUAGCGUGAAGGAUGAAGGUUCUAUGGAUUGUAAACUUCUUUUAUACGGGAAUAAACGAAUCCACGCGUGGAUUUUUGCAUGUACCGUAUGAAUAAGGAUCGGCUAACUCCGUGCCAGCAGCCGCGGUAAUACGGAGGAUCCGAGCGUUAUCCGGAUUUAUUGGGUUUAAAGGGAGCGUAGAUGGGUUGUUAAGUCAGUUGUGAAAGUUUGCGGCUCAACCGUAAAAUUGCAAUUGAUACUGGCAGUCUUGAGUACAGUUGAGGUAGGCGGAAUUCGUGGUGUAGCGGUGAAAUGCUUAGAUAUCACGAAGAACUCCUAUUGCGAAGGCAGCUUACUAACCUGUAACUGACAUUGAUGCUCGAAAGUGUGGGUAUCAAACAGGAUUAGAUACCCUGGUAGUCCACACGGUAAACGAUGAAUACUCGCUGUAGGCGAUAUACAGUCUGCGGCCAAGCGAAAGCAUUAAGUAUUCCACCUGGGGAGUACGCCGGCAACGGUGAAACUCAAAGGAAUUGACGGGGGCCCGCACAAGCGGAGGAACAUGUGGUUUAAUUCGAUGAUACGCGAGGAACCUUACCCGGGCUUAAAUUGCAACCGAAUGUGGCGGAAACGCUAUAGCUAGCAAUAGCGGUUGUGAAGGUGCUGCAUGGUUGUCGUCAGCUCGUGCCGUGAGGUGUCGGCUUAAGUGCCAUAACGAGCGCAACCCUUGCCGAUAGUUACUAACAGGUCAUGCUGAGGACUCUGUCGGGACUGCCAUCGUAAGAUGUGAGGAAGGUGGGGAUGACGUCAAAUCAGCACGGCCCUUACGUCCGGGGCUACACACGUGUUACAAUGGGGGGUACAGAGGGCUGCUACCACGCAAGUGGAUGCCAAUCCCAAAAACCUCUCUCAGUUCGGAUUGAAGUCUGCAACCCGACUUCAUGAAGCUGGAUUCGCUAGUAAUCGCGCAUCAGCCACGGCGCGGUGAAUACGUUCCCGGGCCUUGUACACACCGCCCGUCAAGCCAUGGGAGCCGGGGGUACCUGAAGUGCGUAACCGCAAGGAGCGCCCUAGGGUAAAACUGGUGACUGGGGCUAA